GUCAUUUUUGACAUAAUGUAUAUGUAUUAGCCUUUGUCUGUGUGGAUAUAUUUAUACUUCAAGGUUUUGCUAACAAAAGAAUAAGAUUUCUACAUAUCAAUAUUUUCCUAUAAUACUUAGUUGCAGAAGUAAAAUUCUCAUUAAUUUGUUUUCUGAUUAAUCUAUGUAGAUUUAUAAAUUAAAUAACUUAUGAACCUGAGAUUCACCUUUAGUUCUCAAUACAUACUUUGUUUCCUGAAGUACUUUAAGUAAUAGUCUGGAAACUGAUUGUAAGAGCUUGAAUUUUGACAACGAAUUGUUUAAGUCUCUCUCAAAGUUACAUGGCAUUAAAUUUAAACAUUAAAAAAUGUAAAACCAAACACAUUAGCUAUUUUGUUUCUGUCUGUGUGUUUUAAGCAGCGUUCUUGUUUUAUCUUUCAGCGCAAGAACUUGCCAGUCAAGAUGAAAAACUUCUUCUAAUGGAAUCCAGCUUGAAAACUGCUCAAGAGCGGCUGAGCGAACAGCAAGAGUUCGCCAAGAACACAACAGUAGAAAAGCCCAGGCUGAGCCGAAGACAGUGACAGAGGGAAUUAUGGCUUCUGAAGAAGAAUCAAAUGACAGCAAAUACGGCCAAGGUGGGAGCCGUGGACAGAUGUGCUGUGUCUCUGCUGCACCUACCUGCCAGGGGCCUUCUCAUCUUACAGAUUUGAGAGUCCAAAGGUUACACAUGGCUCUGGUUGCCUUUCUUUUUUUGUUAAAGUAGCGGCUCUAAGCAAAUGGCGACUAAAUCGAAGGACAUUAAGAGCAGAAUUUGGGCACACACCAUUGAAGCAUGGAAAGGGCUAUGAAGAAAACGUCUGGGCCAGCUUUGAAACUGUCAUGAAAUCCAUUCUUAGUGAAAGCCUCUGAGUAUGAUUUUUAUCAUUUACAUUUCAAAUAAGUAUUACAGAACCUGUUUAGAAAUUCCUUAUUUUGUUUUUUUUCCUCUGCCUUCUCCUUGAUUUUACUUAGUUUGUUAUUAAAAAAAAUAAUAAUGAAAAUGUCAUAACCUACGUAAGUUCUCGCCUUCUCCCUCCCUGGCUCUCCCUCUGUUUCUCUUUAUCAAGUAUUAUAGUUUACUAACUGAAACUUAAUUAUAUUGAAUAAUUGAAGUUAGGUAAAACACACAUAUCUAAAUAUUUUUUCUUUCCUUCUUCAUCUGGGAACACAGUCCUGAGGCCAAAACUGAAAUGUGCAUUAGAUAUUAACUGAUCCUUGGAAGCCAAAUCAUAAAAUCACAAAAUGUACUGCAUAUCCUUAUAUAACAUUUUCAACUUAUAAAUCUGACUUAUAUUGUUAAAAUGGAAUUUUAACAUAAUUAGUUUAUUUUUGGUUUUUAAUUCAAAGGUUCAGUAGUUUUAAAAAAUAAGAUACAAAGAAGUAUUCUACAAUUUAGAUAAACAUUUUUCAUGCUUCUAAAUAAAAUGAGACACUCUAAUAAAUCUUGUUCCCUU
rnacentral:lncRNA from 1 species